rnacentral:rRNA from 1 species
GUUGUAUGGUUAAGUGACUAAGCGUACACGGUGGAUGCCUUGGCAGUCAGAGGCGAUGAAGGACGUAUUAACUUGCGAUAAGCCCAGAUUAGGCAGUAAAAGCCACUUGAGUCUGGGAUUUCCGAAUGGGGAAACCCACUU